rnacentral:lncRNA from 1 species
UAGGACACUUUGUAUAAGUAAGAAAACCUCAAAUGCAGAACGGAAGUACACCAGCUACGAAUUUGAAUUAGAUCUAGCCGUGGUGGAGGCUUUAAAAAACUUUUGCAUCUAUCUGUUAGGUAGAUCAAUCAAGAUUAUUACAGAUUGUGCCAGAUUGUUACAGAUUGUUCUAACAGAUGAUAAAGAAGAAGCAUCUUAUGCCUUGAAUCUCAAGAUGGGCAUUGAUUUUAAAAAACUCCAAUUACACAAUCAAACAUCGACCUGAAACUAGACUAAAACACGCAGACGUCGUUACCAGUUAAUGGCGAUAACAUUUAAAGAUAUCGUUUCAAGAAUGAAGAAAGCACAAGAAAAAGAUCAGGAAAUUAGAAAUAUAAAGCAGUUAUUAGAAGAGGGUUAGUAUCAGGGUUAUGUAGCGGUUUGGUCUACAGAUGUUCGCAAGGAUAUGAGCUGUUAAUGGUCCCGAGCGCUAUGCAAGAUGAAAUCAUUAGGACUGCCCACGAGAGAGGACAUUCCACUGCAAAAAAAAACAGAAAAAGAAAUAAAACAAGAGUUUUUUUAUUUACGCUCAAAGGUCGAGAAGUGUCGCAAAUUACGUGAAAUGUAUCUUAAUUAAUAAGAAGUCAGGUAAACAGGAGGGAUACUUUAUAUUUACUAAACAAAGGAGAUCUCGCUACAUAUCUGUAUCAUUUGCGAUUAUUCGAAUCAAUGAACAAGAGUUAUAAACAUUCUAUUCUAGCCGUAAUCGACAUUUUUACAAAAUUUUUGUGGUUAUAUCCUAUGAAGACAGUACACACUCAAAGAAGUUAUCUAAAAAUUAGGACAGCAGAAGUACAUUUUUGGUAACCAAAGUCAUCAUCUCUGAUCGGGGCACUGUCUUUACUUCGGUUGAGUUCAAAAACUAUUGUUGAAAGGAAAACAUUGAGCAUCUCAAGGUUAUAGUUGAUUUAUCCAGAACUAACCAAAUGAAGAGAAUCAACCAGAUUAUCAUUUCAGUGUUUACGAAAAUGGCAGUUAAUAAACCCACAAAAUAUAAACAUGUCCCUAGAUUACAACAUGCUAAACUCCAUUUAUCGGCGUAGUAUUGCUAUCAUUCUUUGCGCUAUCGAUCGGUGCCAAAUUAAGCCUAAUUAAGAUCUUACUAUGAAAAAAGCAAUAGAACAUGAAAUGACUAUUAUGACAAUGCGUAGAAACAUUAAGAGAAUAAAUAAGAGAAAAAUAAAUCCAGAAAUGUUAACAGGAAAAUAUAAAGCAUUAGGAUCUAUAAUCUGCAUCAUAGAGAUCCUAACAAAUAUCACCUUAACGACUUGAUAGCCAUAAAACAUAGCAUGAAGCUCAAACCUUGAUAUUUAGAGUUAUACCGCGUCACCAGAAUGAAGUCGAAUGAUACACGUCAAGGCAGGAGACGGUUAAGGACCCACUAGGACUACCACAUGCGUUGAAUACUUAGAACGAUGGAUUGAACCAGAUCCCAAUCAUCUAGGACUGAUGAUACUUCAGGACGGCCAAUUCCAUCGAAACCAUGGAAAUACGACGGAUUUUUGGAUAUGAGGAGGAGAACGUGGAAGGACACAUCGCGAAUUUUCUUACUCAUAAUUUCCAAGAAGAAAAUAUUUGAAUAAAAAAUAGCGGUGAUAAAUCCUCUUCCCCAAUCACGGAGACAUUCCGCGGAGGAAGAGCCAGAGGCAGUUCCGUCGCAAAGAGCAUGUAUUGUUCUAAUGCAGAAAUUGAAAGAAGAGAGGCCGGAAAUUCCGAUUAUCCAACUCUUGUCGGGAGGAAGAGGAGGAAACUCAGUUGGGAGAAGUACACAAGAGAAGACGAAGAAAUGGAAAGAGAA